GACACAGGUGGAUGAGGAGAGAAUCCUAAGGCCGGCGGAAGAAGUAUUGUUAAGGAACUCGGCAAAAUGACCCCGUAACUUCGGGAGAAGGGGUGCCCAUGAAAGUGGGCCGCAGAGAAUAGGCUCAAGCAACUGUUUAGCAAAAACACAGGUCUAUGCGAAACCGAAAGGUGAAGUAUAUGGGCUGACGCCUGCCCGGUGCUGGAAGGUUAAGAGGAGAGGUUAGAGCAAUCGAAGCUUUGAAUUUAAGCCCCAGUAAACGGCGGCCGUAACUAUAACGGUCCUAAGGUAGCGAAAUUCCUUGUCGGGUAAGUUCCGACCCGCACGAAAGGCGUAAUGAUUUGAGCACUGUCUCGACAAUACAUCCGGUGAAAUUGAAGUACCAGUGAAGAUGCUGGUUACCCGCGCCAGGACGGAAAGACCCCAUGGAGCUUUACUCCAGUUUGGUACUGGGAUUCGGUACUGCACGUACAGGAUAGGUGGGAGACUUUGAAACUUGAACGCCAGUUUGAGUGGAGUCGCUGUUGGGAUACCACCCCUGCAGUAUUGGAUUUCUAACCAGUCACCGUGACCCGGUGAUGGGACAAUGCCAGGCGGGGAGUUUGACUGGGGCGGUCGCCUCCGAAAGGGUAUCGGAGGCGCUCAAAGGUUCCCUCAGAAUGGUCGGAAACCAUUUGAAGAGUGCAAAGGCAGAAGGGAGCUUGACUGCGACACCGACGGGUGGAGCAGGUAGGAAACUAGGACUUAGUGAUCCGGUGGCAUAAAGUGGGAUUGCCAUCGCUCAACGGAUAAAAGCUACCCUGGGGAUAACAGGCUUAUCACUCCCAAGAGUUCACAUCGACGGAGUGGUUUGGCACCUCGAUGUCGGCUCAUCGCAUCCUGGGGCUGUAGCAGGUCCCAAGGGUUGGGCUGUUCGCCCAUUAAAGCGGUACGCGAGCUGGGUUCAGAACGUCGUGAGACAGUUCGGUCCCUAUCCGGCGCGGGCGGAGGAUAUUUGAGAGGAGCUGUCCUUAGUACGAGAGGACCGGGAUGGACGGACCACUGGUGUAUCUGCUGUCGGCCAACGGCAUGGCAGAGUAGCCAAGUCCGGAAGGGAUAAACGCUGAAGGCAUCUAAGCGUGAAGCCCCCCUCAAGAUGAGAUAUCCCUCACAAAAGUGAGUAAGAUCCCUUGAAGACUACAAGGUAGAUAGGGCAGAGGUGGAAGUGUGGCAACACAUGGAGCUGACUGUUACUAAUCGAUCGAGGGCUUGACCAA
rnacentral:rRNA from 1 species